GCGCAUGAAGUUCUUUCUCAAAGUACAGACAUACAACACAAAGGAUGUGGUAUAGCUAUUCUAUCACAAGAGACCUGGGGACCUGGGACAGUAGAACAUUCUGCAGCAGAACAAGGCCCUGGAGAUCAACUAGCAACACCUGGGAACCUAUAGUAUAUUUUUUAAAAAAUUGAGCCAACAUAUAAAAAUCUGGAGAUUUCACAUAAAAUCCAGACUUGGCCAUUUUUUGAAAAGGAGAUGCUGAUGAUACCUCUUCCAAAAGGCCUCCCUGGACAACCAAGUCUAAAAUCUCCCAGUUAUAUCUCCAGACAAGACACAGAAAAAGGAAUAUCAUAGCCACUUGAACUUCUUUCAGGACUCAGUUCAGAUAUCACUUCCUCCAGGAAGCCUUCCAGCUGGAUUAACCAAGAGCAUGUAUCACACUGUUU